AUUACUUUAGUUUAAUUAAAACCAUAGAUUGUGGUUCUAGAGAUAGCUCUAGCUAAGUAGUC
rnacentral:tRNA from 1 species